CAUAACUAACUCAUAAACAGCUCCUGACCAUAGGAUCAUCACGAGGAUGGUGAUCGAUCCAGAAGGUUGGUGUACGAUCGCUUCCUUAGGAUAGAUGUGUCUUGAGUCUACAGUGUGGAGACACUGGAGUGAGAGUACAGGUAUUCAUUGAGAAUGAGAGUACUGAGUGUGACCACCUCGAGCAGUCAUAAGGAAGUCUACCUUCUCAUCGAUGACUAGCUCGAUGCUGCAGCUGUGUCUAGUUCUUUGACCUGAGGUACAUCGAUAGUUCACCUUGAGUGUGUUAUAGUUUGACUAUACUAUACUCAAUCUCCUAGCCAUUCAGAAUCCUGAGGUGUAUGUUGGCUGUAGCAUAUUCAUUGUAGGAACCAAAUCGCACCAAGAAGGGAUCUAUCAACCUCGGUAGAUGAGAGGAGUAGUCCUAUGAUGAUCGAAAGAUCGAGUCCUUAAGCCCAUGGCCAUGGCAAAGUGAAAUAAUGGAAAAGAGUUUUUCAUUGGGGUUUCACAUCGGACUC
rnacentral:lncRNA from 1 species